UACGUAGGGCGCAAGCGUUAUCCGGAAUUAUUGGGCGUAAAGAGCUCGUAGGCGGUUUGUCGCGUCUGCUGUGAAAACUGGAGGCUCAACCUCCAGCCUGCAGUGGGUACGGGCAGACUAGAGUGCGGUAGGGGAGAUUGGAAUUCCUGGUGUAGCGGUGGAAUGCGCAGAUAUCAGGAGGAACACCGAUGGCGAAGGCAGAUCUCUGGGCCGUAACUGACGCUGAGGAGCGAAAGCAUGGGGAGCGAACAGG
rnacentral:rRNA from 1 species